CGGCGAUGCUACGCCGUAUGGGGGAUGGUUCGGCUAGAGCGCUGAAGAAGGUCGUGUCAAGCUGCGAUAUGCGUCGGGUAGGUGCAAGAAGCCUAUGAUCCGACGAUUACCUAAUGGGACUUCCUAUUCUUCGGAAUGAUCAGUAAUGAUCGGGAACGCGGGGGAUUGAAGCAUCUUAGUACCCGCAGGAAAAGAAAUCAACAGAGAUACCGUUAUUAAAGGCGAUCGAACGCGGUAUAGGGCAAUCCGAAUCCCUUCUGAAAGGAAAGGGAGGUGUGGAGUUACAGGCUCGUUUACACCUAAGUCCAAAUACUCAAACUUGGCUGGAAAGCCAGGCCAUAGAGGGUGAUAGCCCCUUAGAGGAAGGUGGAUAUGGUGAUUUUCGAUGUUCUUGAGUAGUGUGCGUUGGAUAUCGCGCAUGAAUUUGGGAGGCAUUCACUUCCAACCCUAAAUACGUCUCUAGUCCGAUAGUGCAGUAGUAGCGUGAGCGAAGACUGAAAAGUACCCUUAACGGGAGGUCAAAAGACCUGAAACCAUACGGUUAAAGAUUUAAAUAGCAUCAAAGGGAAGAAGCCAAUUAUUGGUGGACCAGUGUUAUUUUGUUCGUUUCGAAAAACGAUCCAGGGAGUUCUGGUCAUUGGCGAGGUUAACUAUUCAAUUAGGUAGCCGAAGGGAAACCGAUUGCCCGCAGCUUUUUGCGAGGGGCAACGUGUGCUCGCGUGGAGUCAAUGGUGCGGAUACCCGAAGCCGGUCGAUCUAUGCCUGAGCAGGAUGAAGCCUCUCGAAGGGGAGGUGGAGGUCCGAACCAGUUCUGAUGUGCAAAUCGUUUGGAUGACUUGGGUAUAGGGGUGAAAGGCCAAUCUAGGCCGGAAAUAGCUGGUUCCCCCCGAAACUAGUCGCAGCUAGACCUCGAUCGAGGUGGAAUGUGAGGUAGAGCACCGAUUGGGUGCUUAGGGGAAGAAAUUCCUCGGCAUCUUGUCAAACUCCGAACUUGCGUUCAUCGUAGACGUCGGGUGUGAGGCCAUCCGGGGUAAGCUUGGUGGCCAUAAGGGAAACAACCCAGACUAUAGUUAAGGUCCCUAAAUUUCGGUCAAGUGUAAUACGAAAUGGUGUCGGCGGUCUAAAACAACCGGGAGGUGGGCUUAGAAGCAGCCAUCCUUCAAAGAUAGCGUAACAGCUCACCGGUCUAGAUCGUGGGCCCAGAAAAUGGACGGGGCUAAACCGAGUACCGAUACUAUAGGAUACUGCAAAGUAAUUCGGUAGGGGGGCGUGGUGCAUGGGCAGAAGCAGGGCUGUGAAGUCCUGUGGACCGUGUACCAACGAGGAUCCUGGAGAGAGUAGCAGCAAAGCACGGUGAGAAUCCGUGUCGCCGCAGGGGCAAGGGUUCCUUGGCAAUGUUCGUCAGCCAAGGGUUAGUCGAUCCUAAGGUAACUCUUAAUCGAAGUUAUCGAAUGGGAAACAGGUUAAUAUUCCUGUACCAGCAAGAUCUUUGCCUAUGUAGUUAGUUCGGGAUAGUUGAUGUACGCCAGUCAGCGUAUCUAAGCGCCGAAUCCGAUGAAGAACCGUAAUGGUGAGAAGUUGGAGAAUGCGUUAUGGGGCGAGCGUAAGCUCGCUUUCGAUAAUUCCUGGAUUCCGUGAAACCUGCAUAGUUACAAUCUUGUUGUUCGUACCAAGAACCGACACAGGUGUCCCUAGGUGAGUAGCCUAAGGCGUGUUAGCAUAAUCGUGGCGAGGGAACUCGGCAAAUUAGCCCUGUAACUUCGGGAGAAGGGGUGCCAGCAGUGAGAGCUGCUGGUCGCAGUGACAAGAGAACACCGACUGUUUAAUAAAAACAUAGGUCUCUGCUAGUUCGAAAGGAUGUGUAUAGAGGCCGAAGCCUGCCCAGUGUCGGCAUCUGAAAAUCUGUUACAACGGAUCGAAGGACCGAUAAACGGCGGGGGUAACUAUGACCCUCUUAAGGUAGCGUAAUACCUUGUCGCUUAAUUGGCGACUUGCAUGAAGGCUCAACGAGUGUUCUACUGUCCCCGCCAUGACGCUAGUGAAAUCAAUCAGUCUGGUGCACAAUCCAGACCCCUCCAUCUGAAAGCGAAGACCCCAUGGAGUUUCACUGCAACCUGUUGUUGUUGUAAGAAUUGGCAUGUGUAGGGUAGGCGGGAGACGUUACCCAGGAA
rnacentral:rRNA from 1 species